GGGGAUUUAGCUCAGUGGUAGAGCGCUUGCCUAGCAAUUGAAAGGCCCUGGGUUCGGUCCCCAGCUCCA
rnacentral:tRNA from 1 species